rnacentral:rRNA from 1 species
AAGGGGGGAAUUAAAAUAAUAAAAAAUAAAAGAAAAAUUUUUAAUAUUAAAAUAUUUAAUGGGGGUUAAAGUAUUUUAAUGGAAAAAAUUAAUUUUUUUAUAGUAAAAUAGUAUUGUGAAAGAAUUUUGAAAAAUUAUAAAAUAAAAAUUUAUUUUUAAGUAAAUUUAAUUUAUUGUAUCUUGUGUAUCAGAGUUUAUUAAUUAAUAUUUUUGGGGGAAAAUAUCUCGAAUUUUAAAGAGUUAAUUAAUUAAUAAAUUUAAUGUAGCAUAAUUAUUUUUAAUAAUUAAUUGGAAAUGAAAUGUUAAUCGUUUUAAAAAAUAUCUAGUUUUUUUAGAAAAAAAUUUAAUUUUAAAUUAAAUUUAAUUUAUUUAUUUAAUUUUUAAUAAAGAAAAAAUUUAAUUAAAUAUUUUAAGGGAUAAGCUUUAAAUUAAAUUUUUAUAAUAAAAUUUUAUAAAAUGAAAUUUUUAAAAUUAAAAUUUUUUAAGAAUUAUUGUUUUUUAUAAAUAAUUUCAUUUAAUUUAAAAUUAAAAUAAUUUAUUUAAUUUUUUAUAAAAAAUUAAUUUAUAAUAAAAAAAAAUUAGCAAUAAUGAUAAAAUUAGUAUAUAAAUAUAAAAAUUAAUUAAAAUUUAUUAUAAUUAAUGAAAAGGAAUUCGGCAAAAAUUUAUAUUCACUUGUUUAUCAAAAACAUGUCUUUUUGAAAAUAAUAUAAAGUCUAAUCUGCCCACUGAAAUUAUUUUAAAGGGCUGCAGUAUAUUGACUGUACAAAGGUAGCAUAAUCAAUAGUCUUUUAAUUGAAGACUUGUAUGAAUGAUUUAAUGAAAUAUAAACUGUCUCUUUAUUAAAAUUAGAAUUUAAUUUUUUAGUCAAAAAGCUAAAAUAAAUUUAAAAGACGAGAAGACCCUAUAGAGUUUUAUAUUUUUUAGUAUUUUAAUUUUAUAUAAAAUUUUAAAUUAAAAUAUUAAUAAAUAUUUUAUUGGGGUGAUAUAAAAAUUAAAAUAACUUUUUAAAAAAUUAAACAUUAAUUUAUGAGUAUUUGAUCCAUAAUUUAUGAUUAAAAGAAAAAAUUACCUUAGGGAUAACAGCGUUAUUUUUUCUUUUAGUUCAAAUAAAAGUUAAAGUUUGCGACCUCGAUGUUGGAUUAAGAUAAAAUUUAAAAGCAAAAUUUUAAAAUUUUGAUCUGUUCGAUCAUUAAAAUCUUACAUGAUCUGAGUUCAAACCGGUGUGAGCCAGGUUGGUUUCUAUCUUUAGAGAAAUAAAAUAAUUUAGUACGAAAGGAUCAAUUAUUUUAAAUAAUUUAAUUACAAUGAAUUUUAAUAAAAUAGUUUUA